rnacentral:rRNA from 1 species
CAACGCUUUGGCCCCAAACAGGGCUUGCCCUAGUAACGGCGAGUGAAGCGGCAACAGCUCAAAUUUGAAAUCUGGCGCAAGCCCGAGUUGUAAUUUGUAGAGGAUGCUUCGGGGCAGCGGCCGGUCUAAGUUCCUUGGAACAGGACGUCAUAGAGGGUGAGAAUCCCGUAUGCGACCGGCUGGCACCCCACACGUAGCUCCUUCGACGAGUCGAGUUGUUUGGGAAUGCAGCUCUAAAUGGGAGGUAAAUUUCUUCUAAAGCUAAAUACCGGCCAGAGACCGAUAGCGCACAAGUAGAGUGAUCGAAAGAUGAAAAGCACUUUGGAAAGAGAGUUAAAAAGCACGUGAAAUUGUUAAAAGGGAAGCGCUUGCAACCAGACUUGUCGACGGUGUUCCGCCGGUCUUCUGACCGGUUCACUCGUCGUCGGCAGGCCAGCAUCGUCUGGGGCCGCCGGAUAAAGGCUUGGGGAAUGUGGCUCCUCCGGGAGUGUUAUAGCCCCUCGCACAAUACGGCGCGCCUCGGGCGAGGUCCGCACUUCGGUAAGGAUGCUGGCGUAAUGGUCGUAAGCGGCCCGUCUUGAAACACGGACCCU